GACGAACGCUGGCGGCGUGCCUAAUACAUGCAAGUUGAGCGCUGAAGGUUGGUCCUUGUACCAACUGGAUGAGCAGCGAACGGGUGAGUAACGCGUGGGGAAUCUGCCUUUGAGCGGGGGACAACAUUUGGAAACGAAUGCUAAUACCGCAUAAAAACUUUAAACACAAGUUUUAAGUUUGAAAGAUGCAAUUGCAUCACUCAAAGAUGAUCCCGCGUUGUAUUAGCUAGUUGGUGAGGUAAAGGCUCACCAGGGCGAUGAUACAUAGCCGACCUGAGAGGGUGAUCGGCCACAUUGGGACUGAGACACGGCCCAAACUCCUACGGGAGGCAGCAGUAGGGAAUCUUCGGCAAUGGACGAAAGUCUGACCGAGCAACGCCGCGUGAGUGAAGAAGGUUUUCGGAUCGUAAAACUCUGUUGGUAGAGAAGAACGUUGGUGAGAGUGGAAAGCUCAUCAAGUGACGGUAACUACCCAGAAAGGGACGGCUAACUACGUG
rnacentral:rRNA from 1 species